ensembl:lncRNA
GUAAACGGGGUAUAAGACUUAGCCUUAAUGCUUUGUUUGGGGUUGUCUUGAGGAUGAAUCUAUCCCGAACCUGAUUUCAUGUGAAUGAAAUUCUAUCGGAUCUGACUUCUGAAACGCAACCUAUGGUUCUUAGCAUAUCUCAACAUGCUAACAUGCUUUACAAGUCUAGUUUUAGUCUGUAGCCCUUUGCUAACUUCAUAGCUAACAUUAUCUAUAUUUAAAAUCUGCAAGAGUUUAACUGAAAUAUUUUUUCCCCUCAGGAAGAAACGUCCAGAGAGACUCAACCAAGGACGCGACAAUGCUGGUUCUGGUACUGUGCCAUAAUGAGGGACACGUCCAGAGACACUCGUCCAUGGACGCGACAUUGCUGUUUUUGGUCAUGCCGGCCUUCUGAGGUGCAAACUUGCGCCUGUGGUCCCACAUUGUGGUAAAAGCUUUUCUCAGUGGUGGAAGGAGCUGCAAAGCUCCACACAUUCUGUUCUCUUAAUAUUUCCCAAAGCUUCAGUUCUGAAUGUACUAGGUUUAAACGAAAUUCAUAUGGAUUUAGAAAAAAAAUAAAAAUUUUACUGUCUGCUAUUCCUAACAUAGACUAUGUACAAAACACUUUCUAUGUAAUUGUUUGUUCAAUUAAAUAAAAGUUUUAAAUUCACUGGUAUUUUAAUUCUGACUUCAUUACUUCUGUAUUAUGUAGCCUCAAUCAGGGCAU